CUCCAAAUCCAAAGUGGAUGAGGAGUGGGCGGGGCUGGUUUACCAGGCUAUCAUUUAGGGGAGGAGCCAAAAAUGAUGACGUUUGAAGCCUCAUGAGCCGGUCGAACCACCGACUGCUUCAGGCAGUGGUUUUCGGGUAUGACGUGAUCAAAAUAUAACGGGCAGCGAAAGCGAUGGAUUCCUCCGUUCACAUCUUGUGGAUUUGGGCCUUCUUUAUCCUGCAUUGGAAUCGGUUGACACUCUUUUUUCCAUGGAGCCAGCCAGGAAGAGACCAUUCUCUCUCCCUGUGUGGGACCAUUUGACUUGAUUUCACCUAAUAAGGUGAAAUGUCUGUUGUGUUCCAAGGAGCUUGGAUACAACAACAACACCUCAUCUAUGCUGAGGCAUUCCAGAGCCCUGCAUGAGAACAAGGAGACCAACCGCGGUGGAUCAAGCUCAGGAAUGAAUGAUGUGAAUGAAGCCUUGGUGAGCGUGGUCACUGAGGAGACCCAGCCCUCCUCUACUGGAGGACAGCAGGUUCAGGAAGCUGGUUCAAGCUUUAACCCUACUAUGUUCUCCCCACAAGACAGGCUUUUAAAGCUAUGGUGGAGAAAAAAUACAAGGAGUCCAAGGAGAAAGCCAAAGCCAUGGUCUCCAAGGCGGCCUCUGUUAGUUUGACAUCCGAUAUGUGGACCUCAUAAACACUGAUGCAAGAUUCGGCGGUGACGUGC